GGCCUCAGGACGAACGCUGGCGGCGUGCUUAACACAUGCAACGUCGAACGAUGAAGUCACUUCGGUGGUGGAUUAGUGGCGAACGGGUGAGUAACACGUGGGCAAUCUGCCCUUCACUCUGGGACAAGCCCUGGAAACGGGGUCUAAUACCGGAUAACACUCUGUCCCGCAUGGGACGGGGUUGAAAGCUCCGGCGGUGAAGGAUGAGCCCGCCGGCCUAUCAGCUUUGUUGGUGGGGUAAUGGCCUACCCAAGGCGACGACGGGUAGCCGGCCUGAGAGGGCGACCGGCCACACUGGGACUGAGACACGGCCCAGACUCCUACGGGAGGCAGCAGUGGGGAAUAUUGCACACAUGGGCGAAAGCCUGAUGCAGCGACGCCGCGUGAGGGAUGACGGCCUUCGGGUUGUAAACCUCUUUCAGCAGGGAAGAAGCGAAAGUGACGGUACCUGCAGAAGAAGCGCCGGCUAACUACGUGCCAGGCAGCCGCGGUAAUACGUAGGGCGCAAGCGUUGUCCGGAAUUAUUGGGCGUAAAGAGCUCGUAGGCGGCUUGUCACGUCGGAUGUGAAAGCCCGGGGCUUAACCCCGGGUCUGCAUUCGAUACGGGCUAGCUAGAGUGUGGUAGGGGAGAUCGGAAUUCCUGGUGAUAGCGGUGAAAUGCGCAAGAUAUCAGGAGGAACACCGGUGGCGAAGGCUGAUCUCUGGGCCAUUACUGA
rnacentral:rRNA from 1 species